rnacentral:lncRNA from 1 species
UAAGGGGGCUCGUGUAGUCAAAAUGAGAAAUAGAAGAAACUGAUAGUUAACAUAGGGUUAGUUUUAGUUUAGAUUAAAUUAGUUAAUUAAUUUUGUUAUUUUUAUUAUAGCUUAAUUUAAUUAGUUAAUAAUUAUUGUUUUGGAGCUACACUACUAAUUCUUGACUCAACUAGAUUAGUACCUUUUUUAGUAAUUAAUUUAAUAGUGAUUUUCUUCAAUCAGC